AGUGAGGGUCGCCGCGGCGGCGCGCAGCACGACGGGAACAUGGCGCGCGGAACCGGCGCGCGCGCCUAGCUGGCGGGACCCUUAGCUCGAGGCGGACGCGGCCCGGACCCCUUGGAUAUGGAGCAGUCGCCGCCGCCGGCGCCCGAGCCGGCCCAAGGGCCGACCCCCGCAAGGAGCUGAAGGCGGCGGGAGACCGAGUCGCCGCCAGCGUCGGCGCCGUCAAAGAAGAUGGCCACGGAGACAGCAGCGUGGUCAGAGUGGUAGGAGCCGGCCAUCAGCGAGAGCUGCUCCGUGCCUGGCUGCUGGGUGCUACAGCCUGUGGCCCACUGGCUUGCCUCACUGUGGUUGGUGGUGGCGGUGACAGAGACUGCAGCACGACCAGAGUGGCUUUUCUGGCUUUGCCCGCCCAGCUGCUCCAUGCCAGGAGGAGGAGGAGACACCUAGAGCCUGCAACACCACGGCUCGCCUCACUGCAGGAGGGUGGCAUCGACGGAGACUGCAGUGCGCCAGAGCGGUAGGAGAGCGGCCAUGCUAGGAGGGCAGGCGGCUGCAGCCAGGGUUGGGGGUCAGGCUUACAGCAAUGGACGGGCUGCAGCAGUGGCCAGGUGGUAGGAGCCUUGUAGGGAGGGCUGGUGCAUUGGCAGUGGGCCUGGCUUUGCCCUGCCCGUGCCGUGGAUCUGGCCCUGUACUGCCCUGCCUUGCCCUGUACCUGCCCUACUGUUACCUGGACUGUCUCGGCCCUGUCCUGCUCUGGUCCCAUCCUGACCCUGUCUUGGCCCUGUGCUACCCUGUCCCUUCCCUGGUCUUGCCCUGGCACUGGCCCUGCCCUGAA
rnacentral:lncRNA from 1 species